rnacentral:rRNA from 1 species
AUGGUUCGAUAUUUAUUAAGUAAGUACAGGGAGACAUGUUGGCACGUGAUGGGAUCCGAUUCCGAACUGGGCUGGUGCUGGAGAUCGGACAAGCACGUAGUAAAAUGGGCCGGCCCAAGUGUCCACUGGGCUUUUCCUUCCUUCCUUCUUCUCCUGCGCAUCCCCACUCCCCAUUUCCGUUUCAACCAAACCCUAACCCUAGCCCACAUCCACUGGGACGGCGACGAGAUGGCGCUCCGCCGCCGCGGUCCGCCGUCGGCGUCGGCGCCGCCUCUGGAGGACGAGAACCUCCUCGGCGAGAUCCUCCUCCGCGUCGCCCCGCUGCCCUCCUCGCUCCUCCGCGCCUCCCUCGUCGCCAAGCAAUGGGAGCGCCUCGCCGCCGCGCCCGCCUUCCACCGCCGCUUCGUCGCCCACCACCGGCAGCCCCCCAUCCUCGGCGUCUUCGGGCAGCAAGGCCGGGAGCUGGUGUUCACCUCCCUCCUCGACGCUCCCGACCGCAUCCCGCGGGAGCGCUUCUCGCUGCGGCCCGGCGACGAGAUCGAUUUCUGGGGUCUGCUCGGGUGCCGCCAUGGACGUGUCCUCUUCAUCAGCACGUUUCGUCGUGCGCUCCUUGUGUUCGACCCCGUCAACGGCGACCGCCUGUGCGUGGCAAUUCCGCUGUAUUUGGAACGGUAUGUCUUUGGUGGAGCUGUGGUCUGCGCCGCCGGCGACGACCAGGGCCACGUGCACGGAGACUGCCAUUCGAGCCCCUUUAAGGUGGUCCUGGUAGGCACCAGAGAGAACCACCCAGCCAUAGCCUGGGUCUACUCCUCCGAGACCGGCAUGUGGAGCAAUCUUGUCUUCACCACAGAACCAUGCGACGGUCUGAUUGACGUCCAUUUCCCCUGUACCCUUGUCGACAAUGUCCUUUAUUGGUGGUUGUAUGGGCAUGACAAUGGCAUACUCGAGUUCGAUCUGCAUACCCAGACACUAGCUGUGACCGAGGGGCCUUCCCCUGUGGACAUCAACUCUAUCAACAGCCGGAUCAUCAGGGGAGAGGAUGGCGGUGUUGGCGUCGCAGUAUUUUCGUAUCUGAGCUUGAAAAUGUGGAAACGCGAGGUCAGUAGUCAGGGUAUUCACACAUGGCUGCUGCAGAAGAUUGUUGUCUUCCACAAGAUCAUUGAUCUUACACAUCAGAUCAAGGCAAGGAAGGAAGCUAUAGUGGGGUACUCAGAGGAUGCUCAUGCGCUUUUUAUAAAGGUGUCUUGCUGUUCAGGACCCCAUACCUUCAUUGUUGAACUUGAGUCAAUGCAGUCCAGGAAAAUUAAUCAAAGUUUUUUGGAGAAUUCAUAUCAUCCGUUUGCAGAUUUUUUCACUGCAGGUACUGUUCGAGCGUGA